rnacentral:rRNA from 1 species
GACGAACGCUGGCGGCGUGCUUAACACAUGCAAGUCGAACGGAAAGGCUCCAGCUUGCUGGAGUACUCGAGUGGCGAACGGGUGAGUAACACGUGGGUAAUCUGCCCUGCACUCUGGGAUAAGCCUGGGAAACUGGGUCUAAUACUGGAUAUGACCUUUCUCCUUACGGGGUUUGGUGGAAAGUUUCUCGGUGUAGGAUGAGCCCGCGGCCUAUCGGCUUGUUGGUGGGGUGAUGGCCUACCAAGGCGACGCCGGGUAGCCGGCCUGGGAGGGUGAUCGGCCACAUUGGGACUGAGAUACGGCCCAGACUCCUACGGGCGGCAACAGUGGAGGAUAUUGCACAAAGGGCGGAAGCCUGAUGCAGCGACGCCGCGUGGGAGAUGACGGCCUUCGGGUUGUAAACCUCUUUCAGCAGGGACGGAGCGUAAGUGACGGUACCUGCAGAAGAAGCACCGGCUAACUAUGU